ensembl:processed_transcript
AGACUGAGCAAGGAAGCCCCACCCUGAGAGUGGGUGGCACCAUUCAGUGGGCUGGGUUUUCAGAGUGAAGAGAAAGCACGCUGAACACCAGCAAUCAUUUCCUGCUGCUGCCUGACUUUGGAUCCUCUCUGACCAAUCCUCAUCUAUCCCCGCCUCCAUGCCUUGCCUGCCAUGCUGGGCUGUAUCCCUUCUUAAAAUAUAAACCGGUACCCUUCUUUCUACAGGGUGCUUCUUUUAAGGAAUUCGGUCAAAGCAAAGAGAAGUGCAACCAGUUCACAGAUGAAAACAAUCUGGAAGACUUUGCUACAGUUUGGGGAAAACCUCAUGCGAUUCAGAGUUCUCCUGAAGAUGAGCGCCGGCCUCAUCCUCCACCCUGCUGACCCCAAGCUGUGAGCUGAAUUUUGCUCAGGAAGAGUGACCAAAUACAAGAUCUUUUGAGAGAAUAUGAAUGCGUACAUGUUUCAGUCCAAGUCACAGCUUCUACCACCAAGUAGACAGAGACAUGACAGCAUCAUUACUAUAAGGUGACCCUUCUGUAGUUUUCACCUCUCCAUAUAAAGCCCAGGAAGACUGACGCCAGGAAUCUUACCAUGCCAGCCAGAAUACUGAAGAUAAUUCAUAUCUCCAUUUAUCAUUCAUUAGAAUAGAACUCAAAUCUCCUAAAUUACAGGAAAGGCAAGAGUGCACUUCUGGGAUAUUUGGCCAACACUUCAAGAAAGAACCAUUGUAUAAAAUAGGACACUAGUAGCCUGUGUUUUCAAAUUGUUACGUAGAUUCUUCGUCAUCCACUUAGCAGCCUCAUUUAAGAAGACAGUUGGUAGCCUCGGAAGGCCUGCCAGUUGAAUGGCUGUACGAGGACUGGAAUCCUGUGCUGCUCUUCCUUGAGCAGACUGACUGUCAUACUUGGAAGACUGACAUAAUGUCUACGGGUUGCUCACCAUUGUUCCCAUGAGAGUCAUAAUAAAACAGAAGGGGAUGUAACAGUGCAAACAAGG